rnacentral:rRNA from 1 species
UCGUAGUUAUGCGUGAAUGUUGAUUCUUCCGCAGUGACACUUAUCGAAGCCGUUGUGACCCCGCGAGAAACCUCACGACUCUAAACAAAGAUGGUUUGCACAAGUAAUCUUCCAGAUUGCAACAUAAUCGAAAUGCGGGGAUCUCCUAAAGCCACUCAAGUACUCACUUGGCGUAGAAAUACGCAAGGGCCUAUGCUAACACCAUGGGGUACAGUAAUAAUCUUGAUGGAUGUGACAAUGGACAAUCCGCAGCGAACCUCUAAGGGCGUGACGCCUACGAGGUGCGUCCACAGACUAAGUGGUUAUGGGCCAGCAGCCUCCUAGCUGUGUGCUUAAGAUAUAGUCGGGCCUUGACGGAAACGUCAGGGAGUAAGUCACUGUAUGAUUUACUGGCAGUUGAAAGACUGAGCCAUUUAACCGUUCCGUAGGUGAACUGCGGAAGGAUCAUUA